CAAGAAAUAGUUUAAAUAAAAUAGUGGUUUUGGGUAUCAUUGAUAAAAGUUAAAUUCUUUUUUUCUUGA
rnacentral:tRNA from 1 species